AGAGUUUGAUCCUGGCUCAGGAUGAACGCUGGCGNUCUGCUUAACACAUGCAAGUCGAACGGUUGUAGAAANUACGAUAGUGGCGGACGGGUGAGUAACGCGUGAGAAUCUACCAUUAGGUCGGGGACAACCAUUGGAAAACGAUGGCUAAUACCGGAUAAGCCGGAAGGUAAAAGAUUAAUUGCCUAAUGAAGAGCUCGCGUCUGAUUAGCUAGUUGGUGAGGUAAAAGCUCACCAAGGCAUCGAUCAGUAGCUGGUCUGAGAGGAUGACCAGCCACACUGGGACUGAGACACGGCCCAGACUCCUACGGGAGGCAGCAGUGGGGAAUUUUCCGCAAUGGGCGAAAGCCUGACGGAGCAAGACCGCGUGAGGGAGGAAGGCUCUUGGGUUGUAAACCUCUUUUCUUGGGGAAGAACAAAAUGACGGUACCCAAGGAAUCAGCAUCGGCUAACUCCGUGCCAGCAGCCGCGGUAAUACGGAGGAUGCAAGCGUUAUCCGGAAUUAUUGGGCGUAAAGCGUCCGCAGGUGGCACUUCAAGUCUGCUGUCAAAGACCGGGGCUUAACCCUGGAAAGGCAGUGGAAACUGAAGAGCUAGAGUGUCGUAGGGGUAGAGGGAAUUCCUGGUGUAGCGGUGAAAUGCGUAGAGAUCAGGAAGAACAUCGGUGGCGAAAGCGCUCUACUGGACGACAACUGACACUCAGGGACGAAAGCUAGGGGAGCGAAUGGGAUUAGAUACCCCAGUAGUCCUAGCCGUAAACGAU
rnacentral:rRNA from 1 species